rnacentral:rRNA from 1 species
GAUGAACGCUGGCGGCGUGCCUAAUACAUGCAAGUCGAGCGAACAGACGAGGAGCUUGCUCCUCUGACGUUAGCGGCGGACGUGUGAGUAACACGUGGAUAACCUACCUAUAAGACUGGGAUAACUUCGGGACCCCGCAGCUAAUACCGGAUAAUAUAUUGAACCGCAUGGUUCAAUAGUGAAAGACGGUUUUGCUGUCACUUAUAGAUGGAUCCGCGCCGCAUUAGCUAGUCGGUAUGGUCACGGCUUACCAAGGCAACAAUGCGUAGCCGACCUGAGAGGGUGAUCGAGCACACUGGCACUGAGACACGGUCCAGACUCCUACGAGAGGCAGCAGUAGGGGAUCUUCCGACAUGGGCGACAGCCUGACGUGGCAACGCCGCGUGAGUGACUAAGGUGUACGGAUCGGAAAACUGUGUUAUUAGGGAAGAACAAAUGUGUAAGUAACUGUGCACUUCUUGAGGGUACCUAAUCAGAAAGCCACGGCUAACUACGUG